CCCAGGCCCGUGUUCUAGGACUUGGCAAGUCGCCGCCACACUAGACCCGCAUCCCUUAGGCUAUUUCCUUAAAGACCCACUUGGCUCCUUCAAACUCUCACCUGACUCUCUUAUGGUCUCCAUUCUGCGGGGAAGAAGCGGAGCCCCAGAGAGGCUGCGUGACUUUGCUCAAGAGCCCGAAGCCAUAAUGCAGCCCAGCUGGUCCUACGCCUUCCUAAUAAAGAACCUGUACCCUUGCCACGGCGCCAGGCGGACCCAGGCUGCUGCACAGUGCCAAUUCCGACAGGCAGAGUCCUCUUCCUCAGGAGCCCAAGUUUCCACAUGGACUUUUGAGAAGUUGGCUUCGUGGCAAUACACAGACAUCGACAGGUGCAGAUGCAGGGAUGGGGGGACGUCGCCACCAGGAGAGCAGUGAGUCCACUGUCAAAACCGACUUCUCCCCCACCCCGAGCCUGGUCCUGGAAGGAGUGUGUCCCCGAGGGGAGAUGGGUGGCAGCUAUGGAGCAACUUGCCCUUUCGUCUCCUCAUGGGAAUGCUGGCUUGAUUUCCACCUGCCACCACCUGGCUGGCCUGCCCCCUGGGCCCAGGCUGACCUAUUGGAGAGGAAGGCUCAAGAACUCCACAGGGAAGUGGCUGACACCAACACCAGUGAUUCUCAGCAAACACCAUGGCAGAUCUUGGUUGACAGGUAAGAUGGGGCCAGUGAUGUGCUGGUAAAUGUUUAACAACUGGCCCUGUGGGGGGAACUCUGAUUUGUAGCAUUUGCUGAUUCCUAUGGUGCAAACACCCCUAACACGGCUGAUUUCAAGCUUUCAACCUGACGUCACUGAAACCGGAGUUGGGAAGAGAUGCUCUCCCCAGUAGACAUGAGCCUGCUUUGUGUACCAGUGGGUGGGGCCCAGGAGAAGCCCUCUAAGAGGAUUCUUAAGUUCCGGGAGAUGCAAGGAGGGAGAAAGUGGUGUGGAAAGGGAGGUUGGAAGAUAUUUGCUAACCUGAAGCUCACUGAAAUCCAAGUGGGUGCAGAAGGAGGAAAGUCCUCUGAGUAUGUGCCCAAGGAUAUUUCAGGUGGGCCACAGCUGAGGCCAAGAAGGCAACGAGUCCCAGAGCAGAAGGAGACAGAAAGCCCUAACCACCCAGUUUUCCUGUCUUGCCUGAGGUUAGGCCCCAUCCUUCUCCUUAUAGAAAUAGCUCUUAUACAGAAGCCAGGGAAGGAUCAGAUUCUGCUGAUCCACAGUAUCUGGUAGCUGAAGAGCUCACUAAAUGAAGAACUGAAAGGCCAUUCUUCCUGAGGACUGACCCAGCUGGAUUUCUUCCCUAAGACAGAAAAACCUGAGGCUAGAGUCACAGAACCCCAGGUCCUUCUCUGGGCUGCCCAAGGCUAUUGAAGUUCUGGGUCGGGAGUCAGACAUAUGCUUCUCAUGUACUUGACUCCCAAGACUCAUGGGGUCCGUUGGACUA